AGAACAUUAACAGGCAGAAGAGGAAAUGGGCAGAACAAAAUGCAUGAGUAGAAAGGCCUAAUAUUCCUUCCCCCACCUCAGAGAGACACAUAUAAAUAGUGAGAGAGUGAGUUCCUCUGCUCACUGGCCACCACUCACUUUCUGCAUCUCUCUGGGACGUGCAUCACCCCUGCAGGAUGUGGGCAAAGAUCAGCAGGAUCCAGGAACAAGGAGCCACUGCUUUUCAAAAAGGCAAGAUCUUGUCUUGGAGAAAAGCUACAACUCCAGCUGAGAGUGAAUUCAAUGGGAGCUGGGAGAUAUGAGCAAUCUGUGCAAGGUAGGGCUGCCAACCCC
rnacentral:lncRNA from 12 species